GACGAACGCUGGCGGCGUGCUUAACACAUGCAAGUCGAACGGAAAGGCCCUGCUUUUGUGGGGUGCUCGAGUGGCGGACGGGUGAGUAACACGUGAGUAACCUGCCCUUGACUUUGGGAUAACUUCAGGAAACUGGGGCUAAUACCGGAUAGGAGCUCCUGCUGCAUGGUGGGGGUUGGAAAGUUUCGGCGGUUGGGGAUGGACUCGCGGCUUAUCAGCUUGUUGGUGGGGUAGUGGCUUACCAAGGCUUUGACGGGUAGCCGGCCUGAGAGGGUGACCGGCCACAUUGGGACUGAGAUACGGCCCAGACUCCUACGGGAGGCAGCAGUGGGGAAUAUUGCACAAUGGGCGGAAGCCUGAUGCAGCAACGCCGCGUGCGGGAUGAAGGCCUUCGGGUUGUAAACCGCUUUCGCCUGUGACGAAGCGUGAGUGACGGUAAUGGGUAAAGAAGCACCGGCUAACUACGUG
rnacentral:rRNA from 1 species